UUUGGACAUGGUCGGAAGACUGAUCCAGCCUGCCGCGUGCAGGAUGAAGGUCCUAUGGAUUGUAAACUGCUUUUGUAAGGGAAGAAUAAGGAGUACGUGUACUUUGAUGACGGUACCUUACGAAUAAGCAUCGGCUAACUCCGUGCCAGCAGCCGCGGGUAAUAU
rnacentral:rRNA from 1 species